rnacentral:tRNA from 1 species
GGGGGUGUAGCUUAGCGGUGGAGCGCUUGCCUAGCACGCGUGACGACCUGGGUUAGAUCCCCAGCACUGCAA